GUGGCCACCACCAUUCUCUGCAGCAGAAGACCCCUUGCUGCCCUGCCCAACCCAGCCCAGCAUUUGCCAGGUCUUCCAGUUUCAGAAGCAAGUCUUCUUCCCCUUUAUGGCUUCCUUGACUUUACCUGUUAUCCAUGCUGGCAUCCUCCUGGACUUAGAGCAGCCAAGCACUCCAGCUCGCCCAUCUUGACUCAGAGGCUUCUGGCAUUGGCAUAUAAGCACCUAUACAGUGAAUCUCUUACUUGGUGCAUGCUAGCUUUCUUUUGGCUGUUUGAUCUCUUUGACCAGCUAGCAAUAAAGAAGGGGCAAGAUGUGCCUUUCUGAGGAGUGGUCCUCAACCUCUGUGCCACCACUGAAAAGGCCCUGCCAUACCCCCAUACCUCUGAUGGACCCGGAACUGGAGAUCGGUAGAUGAUUUAAGUGUGCAGGUAGGUUCACAGGGGAGGACCAGGGCCAGCAUUGGCAUUGAUGGGCCCUGCUUGGGCCCAGGACCAUCAGAAGGGCCCACUGCUGAUCCCAGAGGCCACUUCUUUGCCCACUGCAUUUGUGUGAUCGUGACAGAGCAGCUCUUGGGACUCACCCGAGUAGGAAGGGGUCCAUGGUCCCCCUGAACCUGGAGCCAGCUGUGGGGGUUAAGUAUAUAUGCUUUAUUCAGUCACCCAAAUAAGUAGACCCAGUAAAGCAUCAAUAAAGAACACCUACUCUGUUUUAGAAUAAAGCCAUUAAAAAUGAAGGAAUUUGUUAUGGGAAAGUGGUGUCGAGAUUUUAAAAACAAGCAUAAACAAAUGAGGGAGAUUUAUUUCUCAUGUUGGCUGCAAUUUGUAUGACAGUCUCUUUUACAGGAUGUAGGUGUUUUCCUAUGAAGCAUUAUGAAAGAGAUGAGGCAAUUUCUAGGGCUGUCACCUGAUCAAAGAAAUCUUCAUCCAUCCCAUUAUCAAAACUCAUUUGAUUAAUCUAUUAAAUCUGCAUACAUCUGCAUGUGAGAACAACCAGUAAUGCUAAAGGGGGGAAAUAUGUUAUUUCGCCCCCCUCCCCCAGAGGAUGCAUGCUUCUGUCACAGCAGGGUACCAUCUUAGAAGAGUGAGAAGAGGAACUCCACCUUCUCUCUCACACACAGGUGCAGAUGGCACUUGCUACCUACAGUUUUUAAUAUGCACAUAUGCUUAAAAUAAUGUUUAAGAUGUUUAAAUCUGCUGAUCAGCAUUGCCUUCUUAGCAGAUAAAAAUGUUUCAACUAACGAACGAAAGGGGUUUUCAGCCCCUUCUAUCUUAGUUACCCCAUAUAAGCAGCCAAGGAUGAUAACCCCCAGAAGUAAAUCUUGCCAAAGUUGCUGGGAAAAGAAAAUGCAAGCUAAGCGACUUUCUCCUGGAAUCAGGCAAAAACUAAACUAAACUAGAACAUCAAACCUCUUGACUGCACACUGUAGCUUCCUUCCUCCUUCCGUCCUCUGGAGCCUCAUGGCCACAGCACCACAGCAUACCCCUGACCUGACCCUGCCUCCCCCUCCUCCUCUCCACAUGACUGGCUAGCUAGGUGCUCAGAUUCGGACCAUCUCUCCCUCAUCCUGACUGACAGGCUUGACAGCAAGGGAAACAGUGGCUGAUCUCAGCAUCAGCAUUGCACUUGCUGCCAAGCCUGUCAGUCAGGUUGAGAGGGCUGGGCUGAGUGAGCACCUAGCCAGCCAGUCACAUGGAGAGGAGAAAGGAGGGAUGCUGCCUGACACUCCUCCCCUUCCCCUUCUGGAGAGGGAGCCAACAGUGUAGCCUGCAAGUGAGUCAGGGAGGUGGGAGGGUUCUGUGCGCCCCAUGUAACCCUACAAGACUUCAGUGUACCCCCCCAGGGGUUCAAGGACUCUUGGUUGAAACCCCCUGCACUAAUCUAACUGAUGAACUAAAACAGGGGUCUCAUAUAACUACCCUCCUACAGAUGCUGGCCUACAACUCCCAUCAUCCCUGACUACAGGCCAUGGUGAUUGGGGAUGAUGGGAGUAAUUGUCCAAGAACAGCUAGAAGGCCGCAGUUUGAGACCCCGAACUAAAAACUGCAGCCCUAGCACUCACUAGUAUCCAAGAUUAUUCUUGCCAGGGUUAUUUCCAAACCCUAAAUCUCUAUGUGACAAAAGCAGGCUACAGAAAUGCCCCCAAGUGCCCAUCCCUGUGCUGCUUUACACUUCAUCAAAGCAUCCUAAGCAAGCAAAGAGUCCAAGAGAGGCUCUUGCAGGAUGGAUCAAUCCAAUGAUUGUGGGAAUUAUUUGAUGCGUCUUCUUGCACUGAGAUACUACCCUGAACUGUGUAAGAAAUUGUUUGCACAAUCAAUUCAUUUCAACGGAUUUCCUCUUAGCUCACACAAUAGCGUUUCAGCUCGUGCUGAGAUUUUCUCCACCUUUCCCAUCCCCCGUGUGGAUUUUAUAAUGUUUAUCGAGGCUAACUCUUUGAAUAAAGCUUUUCCCACAGUCCGAGCACUCAUACGGCUUCUCCCCAGUGUGGAUUCUCUGAUGCCGAUUCAGAUUGGAAUUGCUACUAAAGCUCCGCCCACAGACGGGGCAUUUGUGUGGCUUCUCUCCCGUAUGGAUCCGCUGGUGACGGUAAAGCACUGAACUGCACCGGAACAUUUUGCCACAGUCUGGGCAUUCGUAUGGCUUCUCCCCAGUGUGGCUCCUCUGGUGGAUGAUGAGUUUGGAGGUGGAAAGAAAGUAUUUCCCACAGGCCAAACAUUUGUGUGAUUUGCCUCUGGCACGAGUCUUCUUAGGGGUGCUGGAGCUCUGAGGGAAGGGUUUGUCAUAAAUUUUGCGGCUGCUUCGUUUCUUACCAGAAUC